UCUCAAAGUCUAGUAAACACUGUCUGGG
rnacentral:piRNA from 1 species